CAAGUGUACUGACAUGAUUGUCUACUUAUUUUUCAGAUCUUAAAAUAUGAAUUGCAUUUAAUUGAUUGAUCUGGGCUCCUUGUUGUGGUCUUUGAUUGUUCUGGGUUCUAGGAUUAGCCUCAGAUGGACUCGGUAGUUUAUCUUUUUCUCUUUCACUUACAAUCCUGGUUAAUUGACCUAAUUGCAUCUCUAAAUAGGU
rnacentral:lncRNA from 1 species